CACAGUUCGAAUCCAGAAUGCGGAGUUUACAUUCCUCAGUUCAUAUCGUAUGGCUCGAGUUGAGCUGAGUACUUCAGCGCUGUGCUGGGCUGUGCCGGGCGAAACUCCAUUAGCUCCGACCUCUGGCCGACGCCCAGUAAUUACAAUUUGUUAUCGCUUUAAUUCAAUAUCGACGGGCACACAUGGACUUUGCCGCACUGCGGGUGGCCGGCCUCCUGCUCGCUGCUCCUGUUGACUCAAUCAGCAAAAACUUGACUCUGCGUUUCCCCUGGCAUUUUGGGCAGUGUUUAAGCUUGCAGCUGCGCCUAUCAUCAGCUCGGCCUAAUUUCAUUUGACUAAAUAUAUUUAUUGUAAUUUCAUAGU